GAGAAAUAUGUAGAAAGUCUGUAAUGCUCUAUGACAAUAGCUUCCGAGUAUGCUGACCUUUGGUAAAUGAAACAAACGGAAAGUACAGUACUCUUACGAUGAGGCAUUAAUGGAAGAUUAAGAACGGAUACAGCUGCAUCACACGAGCGCUUUGUUAGAUGCACUAUUUUCCUUCUGUGCCUUUUCCAUAAUUCCAGAAGAAGCACUCUGCAAGGCAGUCAACGAGCAUAUGCUGUACAUGUUUCUAUGUUUCCUCAGCUGGGACUGAGGGAGAAGUCAGGAUGGCAAGGGGUCCUGCCCACCUCUGCAGGUAGGACACCAGAAAGACAUCCCGCAUGGCUGCCAUGCGCUGAGGUAGGGUACACAGGAGACAUGAAUACAAAACCUAGGGGAAAAAAAAACAAACAAGUGAAUGGAAAGGACAUGAACACUCAUGCAACUACUGCGUCACCGGGGCUGUGAUGCUGCUUUUAGCAGCUGCAGACAGCAGGGCUCGUGGAGGGGUUUGUUGGCUGUACCACAGCCUUACUAUGUGCAAAGCAAUCUUGUAAUGUACAGCUGACCCCACCCGUUUCAGAAGAUUCCAGCUGUUUGAAGCAGUCCUCAAAUCCUCACUGGGUUAUUUCAGUGAUCUUCCUUGGAGCUAACCCGAGCUAGCAACAGUGUUGGCACAGGUACACGUGACUGCAGCAGAGAUGGUAACAAAAAGGCACCACAGCUACAAACUUCCAUCUUUGAUUUUCAUCAGCUUCCCACCGACACCCCCAGUCAUCUCCAGCAUUCUGUAAUGAUGACAGAGUCAGAGAAGAAUUGGCAAAGAAGUGUUUUCUCCAGAGCCCACGUCAUCAGAAAAUUCAUGGUGAUGAGGCUGGGCCAAGUCAAGCCAGGAGGUCAUCCCACAAGUCAGGGGCUAAGUCCAGGCUAUUUCGUAUCCAAAUGGACCUGUGAAGACUGCUGAGAAGCUGGCUAUGACCAGGAGAAGUCCUGAGUCCAUACCUGCGAGAUUCCUACAGAUUGAAGGAGAGAAUGUCUGUGAUAUUACAGUACUUUCCACUGGCAUGGCUGGAAGAGAGUUUCUAUCUACAGUGCACAUCCCUUCACUAGAACCAGGACAUUGAAGAAACCAUUAGGAAAAUGGAGAAGUAAAGGUCACAGUAAUCUUUUCUGGAAUGAAGAAUGAAGAACCAAUUUUAUUCAGAGGUCAGAUUCAUGCCAAGAACUCUGAAGCACUCACACUAUGCUAUUGUUGAAGCAUGUGCAAAGUGUCACUGAAAUGCAAUGUUUGUGAAACACGACGUUGCUCAACACUGCUCAGAAGAUGGAAAUGUGUGAGACAACUUCUUUCUUUCCACGCAUGGCUUGUGAAUUACAAGAGUACAAGAUUCCCAUGUCACAGAGCAAUUUUCCAC
ensembl:lncRNA